GACGAACGCUGGCGGCGUGCUUAACACAUGCAAGUCGAACGGAAAGGCCCUGCUUUUGUGGGGUUCUCGAGUGGCGAACGGGUGAGUAACACGUGAGUAACCUGCCCUUGUCUUUGGGAUAACUUCAGGAAACUGGGGCUAAUAUCGGAUAGGAGCUCCUGCUGCAUGGUGGGGGUUGGAAAGUUUCGGCGGUUGGGGAUGGACUCGCGGCUUAUCAGCUUGUUGGUGGGGUAGUUGCUUACCAAGGCUUUGACGGGUAGCCCGCCUGAGAGGGUGACCAGCCACAAUGGGACUGAGAUACGGCCCAGACGCCUACGGGAGGCAGCAGUGGGGAAUAUUGCACAAUGGGCGGGAGCCUGAGGCAACAACGCCGCGUGCGUGAUGACGUCCUUCGGGUUGUAAACCGCUUUCGCCUGAGACGAAGCGUGAGUGACGGUAAUGGAUAAAGAAGCACCGGCUAACUACGUG
rnacentral:rRNA from 1 species